AGAUCAGAAUAACAGCAGAAAAGCAGAGCUACAGAACAUCCAAACAUCAGUACAGUAAAACAGCAGAACAUUAAAACAGCAGAUCAACAGAACAGCAAAUCCUGUCAUGUCAUAUAAGAUUUGAUUCAGUCUUUCACUUUCCGUUAUUUAUUGUUUACACAGUAAUGGAGGUCUCAGCAUGACAGGUCAAACGAGGAUUCUGAAUCAGAUGGACGUCUUUUUUGGGUCGUCUGCUGCACUUCCCAACAGCACCCAGAUCGCACAAACUUUAAUUAAAGCAGCUAAAAACAACACCCUCCCCUUUCAGAUCUUCACCUCACAGAUCACAGUGAAUGGCACGGUAAUAUCAUCAGGUGAAAUCAGCAGCAAGAUCAGCAUGUUUACUGCAACCUUCACAGUAACCAUGUCACUUCUGGUCACAUGGUCCAGCUGAUGAUAACUAUGUUUGGGAUUCAGGAAAAGAAACCAGGUUCUUCUGUCUGGAUUUUCUCCUCUCUAUAGAGUAAAAUACCGUCUGCACUCCCUCAUAAACUAAUCCCUCAUAAGACAAAACAAUGGACAGCAAACUAAAGCUCUUUUUAAAUUUUUUUUGUAUUAUUUUUUAUAUUUUUUUUUCCAAGUCACAAGGCCAAUUACCCAACUCACUUGUUAGGACUCCCCCUAUCACUAGUGAUGCUACAACACCAGGAGAGUGAAGACUAACACACGCCUCCUCUGUUACAUGUAAAGUCAGACUCCGCCUCUUUUUGAACUGCUGCUACAUCAGCUUGUGCUGAUCUACAUCACCCGAGGAGUGCUGUGGAGAGAGAGCGCCAUCUACCCACCUAGAGAGAGCAGGGCCAGUUGUGCUUUCUCAGGGCUGAUGGCAAGCUGCAUUACCAGGACUUAGUCUGCUGGACCAUUCUGGGCCCUCAGUUGCUAAGAUUUGUUUGAAAUCUGUAGUCUUGUUUUUAUUUUGACAUUGGUAUAAUUUGACUUGGUUUGUAUCUGCAGCAGAAGAGUAGUAAGGAAUAUAUCAGUUAAUACAUGUGGGUGUUCGUUGAUUGGUCAGAUAUUUGUCAGGAACACAUAUUCUUGAUAUAAAUGUCUGAUAUAAAUGUUCUACCCCUACUGUGCAUGAGAACAGAGAUGUUCAAUAUCUGCUUGUGUAUUUUAAUCAAAGUAUAAGUAUAACCCUUACAUAUUUAUGAUUCAUUUUUUAGUUAACUUUUAAUUUACAUACUCAGACUGCAGAUGCGUAGAUCACACAACAGCUGCAUUCCAAAGCCUAAUGCUGGAUUCAAGAUGGACAUAUUGUAUUUACAAGAUGAGUGCACAUGAACAUCACCACAAACUCGUAUUUUCCAGUGUUUUUGUUAAGUCCUGACUUUCCGAAUUGAAGCCAUGUUCACUGAGUUAUUGGAAUUUUCCCAGUGUGUUCCUAUGGUUUGAAA
rnacentral:lncRNA from 1 species